rnacentral:tRNA from 1 species
CAAAAAGUAGUUUAAGUAAAAUUUAAACUUUGGGAGUUUAAGAUAUGGUUAUCCAUCUUUUUGA